UGUGUAUAUCACUCUUCUUUAUACACUCAUCUGUUGAUGGACACUUGCUUCCAUAUCUCGGCUAUUAUGAAUAAUGCUGCUAUGAACAUGGGUGUA